rnacentral:SRP_RNA from 1 species
GCCUGGUGUGGUGGUGCACACCUGUAGUCCCAGUGACUCAGGAGGCUGAGGCGGGAGAAUCACUUGAACCCAGGAGGCGGAGGUUGCAGUGAGCCAAGAUUGCACCACUGCAUUCCAGCCUGGGUCACAGAGUGAGAACCUGUCUCUU